rnacentral:rRNA from 1 species
GACGAACGCUGGCGGCGUGCUUAACACAUGCAAGUCGAACGGAAAGGCCCUGCUUUUGUGGGGUGCUCGAGUGGCGAACGGGUGAGUAACACGUGAGUAACCUGCCCUUGACUUUGGGAUAACUUCAGGAAACUGGGGCUAAUACCGGAUAGGAGCUCCUGCUGCAUGGUGGGGGUUGGAAAGUUUCGGCGGUUGGGGAUGGACUCGCGGCUUAUCAGCUUGUUGGUGGGGUAGUGGCUUACCAAGGCUUUGACGGGUAGCCGGCCUGAGAGGGUGACCGGCCACAUUGGGCGGGAGGAGGGGGCAGGAGGGCGACGGGGGGAAGGGGGGGGGAAUGGUGCAAAGGGGGCGGAGGCUGGAAGCAGCAACGCCGGGGGGGGGAGCACGGCCUGCGGUUUGGAACCCGCGUGCGCCUGGGACGAAGGGUGAGUGACGGUAAGGGGCAAAAAAGCACCGGCUAACUACGUG